CUGUAAAAGUCUAUAUUGUAUUAUUUCCGUGUCCGUGCUCUCGACAUGAACAAAAGACUUAUGAGUUCAGAAAAACGAAGACUAGCAGGUUUUAGAAUUUGGUGUGGUGCCAGUUCUUCCACGCCAUUACUGCCAUUUAUUGUGGUGGAACAGGAAAAGGUUCCAGAUCAGGCACUGGCUCUGCCACCAACAAAGACACACUGCUGGUGGAAAAUGGGUUUGGUGAUGGUCCCGAUGAUUAACUGCUGAGCAGCUUUUUAUCUUCAUACUCAUGAACGUAUGA